CUUAGUGGCGAACGGGUGAGUAACGCGUGAGUAACCUGCCCUAGAGUGGGGGGACAACAGUUGGAACGACUGCUAAUACCGCAUAAGCCCACGGUACCGCAUGGUACUGAGGGAAAAGGAUUUAUUCGCUUUAGGAUGGACUCGCGUCCAAUUAGCUAGUUGGUGAGGUAACGGCCCACCAAGGCGACGAUUGGUAGCCGGACUGAGAGGUUGAACGGCCACAUUGGGACUGAGACACGGCCCAG
rnacentral:rRNA from 1 species